GCAAUUACACUAGUUGCUCAUUCUUCAUUUCCUCCUACUGUAGCUGCCACGUUUUUAUCUCAAAGAUGGCAGCAUUCCAUUGAUCGGUAAUAGAAUUGUUGUGUACAACACCCAGAUCCAUGGGGAUGAAGACACAUAAAUGUCAGGGAUUAUUAGCAGCCUAACUUUGCAGGAAUAACUGGAUUUGAGGUCAAUUACUAAAACUUGUCAUUAGAAUGAUAGCAAUGCUAUUUACCUUCUUGAUUUUGAGCAAAGGGAACAGAACAUUCAUUCUCAUUUAUAGAUGCUUUAGCGUUUCUACUGUGACAUCAGAUGCCACCCCAUAAUGUCGUACAACAGGAGAAAAAUCUGAGCUAAUUUUCGUUUAUGCAAGAAUCUGAAAAAUGCAAUAAAAAAAUUCACAAAGGCCACUGUUGUGGACUAGACCUUCACUACUAACUCAGUGAGAAGAUACACCUGGAACAAACUGGUCUUCAACCACUACCUUCUUCAAAGAACAAAACAAACGCAUCAAGUUUUGCCUCCACUGGCUCUUCAGUGGAAAAUUCUAUCACCUGCUGUUUUUCUACAUGUUCAAACUGAAUAAUCUGAGACUAAAACCAGUCAAGCAACUCCUCCAGUUUUAAGCAUGCAUUACUCUCCUGUCACAACCAUGCCACAGAAACGGAUGAAAUACUGUGGCAUUAAAUAGACUGUACCUCAAAUGAGCAAUUUUCUAGUACAAUAAAGGUGUAAGUACACCAGGUUCAGUUUAAGUACAA